rnacentral:rRNA from 1 species
GUGAGGAAUAUUGCGCAAUGGAGGCAACUCUGACGCAGCCAUGCCGCGUGCAGGAAGAAGGCGCUACGCGUUGUAAACUGCUUUUAACCGGGAAGAAACCCCAGGACGUGUCCUGGGUUGACGGUACCGGAGGAAUAAGCACCGGCUAACUUCGUGCCAGCAGCCGCGGUAAUACGAAGGGUGCAAGCGUUAUCAGGAUUCAUUGGGUUUAAAGGGUGCGUAGGCGGAGCGUUAAGUCAGUGGUGAAAUCCUGCAGCUUAACUGUAGACUUGCCAUUGAUACUGGCGCACUUGUGUGCGCUUGAAGUGGGCGGAAUGUGCCGUGUAGCGGUGAAAUGCUUAGAUAUGGCACAGAACACCAAUUGCGAAGGCAGCUCACUAAGGCGAUACUGACGCUGAGGCACGAAAGCGUGGGGAUCGAACAGGAUUAGAUACCCCUGUAGUCC